UAGGGAAUCUUCCGCAAUGGACGCAAGUCUGACGGAGCAACGCCGCGUGAGUGAAGAAGGAUUUCGGUUCGUAAAACUCUGUUGUUAGAGAAGAACAGCGCAUAGAGUAACUGUUAUGCGUGUGACGGUAUCUAACCAGAAAGCCACGGCUAACUACGUGCCAGCAGCCGCGGUAAUACGUAGGUGGCAAGCGUUGUCCGGAUUUAUUGGGCGUAAAGCGAGCGCAGGCGGUCAAUUAAGUCUGAUGUGAAAGCCCCCGGCUCAACCGGGGAGGGUCCUUGGAAACUGGUUGACUUGCGUGCAGAAGAGGACCGUGGAAUUCCAUGUGUAGCCGUGAAAUGCGUAGAUCUAUGGAGGAACACCAGUGGCGAAGGCGACUCUCUGGUCUGUAACUGACGCUGAACUUCGAACGAGUGAGUAGCAAGCUGU
rnacentral:rRNA from 1 species